rnacentral:lncRNA from 1 species
UAGAUGAAACUAAAGUACUAAAACUCUGUCAACAGUUGCAUCGUUGUGUUUUUGUAACACUUUUCCGAACUAGUAACACCAGUUAUUUCCGAGUAGUCCGACAUUAUCAUUCGGCCUAGGUCAAUUUGAUCCUCACAAUGCCAGUUUAGUGCGAAAAUUCUUUUCCCUGUAAUCGCGUUUCUAGCGAAACAGUCAUUUCAGAACUCUGUGGUACUCAUGCGUAGAGUGCCUUAUGGUUCACAUCCUUCCCGAAGUAACCUCAGCAAAACUCCCCGGAAUACCACUCGUUCAGUACGUCAAGUUCAAUCCGAAGAUGUCACACCCCAAAACCGAUAACGGUGGAAUAUGUUUCGGGGUGGAGGACGUCAUGUACAGUAUCAUCACAAUUGCAUAAUAGUAAAAACAAGAAACAUACAACCAUUGCAUUUCAUAGUGAGUUUAAUUACAAGUGUGUUUUGUAAUGUUCAACAAACACCAAAAGUAAUACAAAAAUAAGAGAUGGAUCUUGUAUGCUCCACCUUCUCCAAAAUGUUGCACCUGUACCUGUCUAUCUUUGACCUGAGGAUACAAGUUAUUUUGAAAACGAAUAUCAGCAUAAAGCUGGUGAGUUCAUAAGAGUUUAGUGUGAGUUUUUGUAUAAAAAGCAUUAGAACCGAUAGUAUGAAAAGCUGCAAUUUACAUUCAUAAGUAGUAGAAAAACCUAGAAAAUCCUACAUUUUCCAGAAAUACAUUGUAAGUGAAAACCUUUAAGAAACAUGUAAUUUUCAUCUUUGAAAACCAUUUAUUGUAAAAGUAUAAUAGUGAAUCUCUAAUAAGUAAUGCAAUAUGGUAGGUUAUGCCUGAAGUCAAUAAUAGUGGUGCAAACUUCCUUUAGUGUUAGAUACUUGUUUACUUCGGGAUAUUAACUUAUCCUUUAGUUUAGUGUUUUAGUGUGGUUAUAGUGUAUUCCUUGUAUGUUACCAGAAGUGUGUAUAAUAGAGGACCCCAUGACCUUCCCGGUCAUGCACAGUAUAGUGAAGUAGCGGCAUCCCUGGGCCUGCACGGCUCGAACUGAAAUUAACAGUUGGGAUGUAAUAGUGUAUGCCCUGUAUAGAUCUAUACAUGUAGCGUCGUUCUCCUGUCGGAAAACUCUGGGCGUAGUGUGUAGCGAAUAGAGUAUCUCAUAGUGAGUUAGUGUGUUAUCUUCGGAUUAGUACUUUCUCUUGUAUUAUAGUGUAGUAGUCUUUUGUAUAGCUCGUAGUGUGUUCUCUUAUUAGUGUAUAGUCUCGUAAUAGUGUGUAUUAUAGUGUGUAGAGUAGUAGCUAUAGCGAGUAGUAGUGGCCUUAACUAUACCUAUUAUAGUUAACUUAGUGUGUAUGGUUCUUGUCAANGUUUAAGCAUCGGAUGAAAUGAAAGUACUCGUAUCCAACACUAAUAUACAUGAUAUAUAACUAAGAAAUCAACGACAAUCAGACGGAUAACAACUCCCCAAAGCCCACAAUCAAACAAGAACAGGAAAUAAGGCGAGCUAUCGGUCCUAAGUCCUUCAAGUCUUUCUUAUAUAAACAUAUUAGUGUGGUUACAUUUUGUAAGAAAAAUUUAUUUAAUAAAAAUCUUGUCCAAAGGGAACAUUUAGAAAAUUGUUUAUUUAUCCAAAAUAGUUUUGAAAACGUAAAAUCCUUUUAUGAAGCAUAGCGGUAAAUCACAUGUGAUUUGAACUACAGAUAGUGAAUCACAUGUGAUUAAUUUCCAUAAACAUGUAUAUUUGACUUGUAUCCCCCCCCCCAAAACAUAUAAAAACAUUUGAAAGGUUCAUUAAAGGGGUAUGAACUCACCUGAAACCAAGUAAAUCGGGUAAAUCGGGUGAAAGUGUCGGUUGAGCGUUUGGUGCCAAAUAAGGACUUGUACACCUUUUAAGACCCUAUUAACAUGUGGAAUAUGUGUUUUAUAAAGAAUUAAUCAUUUUAUGCCUUUUAUGAAAACAUUUAGACAUUCUAGCAUUGAUUCGGGGUCUUAGGGCUUAGAAGUGGUUCUCGGGAAUUGUACAAGGCCAAAUAGGGGUUACGGGGGAGUCCAAGAGUUUACUCCCUUGGAGUUUACGGCCCAAAGGUCACUCCUUGGGAGUUUACGGCCGUAAGCCCCUAGGCUUGGCCGUAAACUCUUGUUCUGCUCUCAAAAUGAAAGUUAAGGCCUUAAAUCACUCCCCUAAAUUUCUAGUGAAUGUCUAGGACCAAUUUGGGGGGUUUAAAACCUACAUUUGGUUGUGUUUGAGGGAGUUUACGGUCCUAGCUUGUGCUUGGGCCGUAAACUCCAUUUUGUCCCUCAAAAUGUGUUGCUUUAUGGCCAUAAGCAUUUCCUAUGAUCAUAACUAAAUUCUAGCGUACCUUAGAUGAGUUUUUAGGGCAUUUAACAUGGAAAUUUGGGAGUUUACGACCUAGGCAUGUGCUUGGGCCGUAAACUCUCUUUUAGGUCCUAAAAUCUUAUGUUUUGGUGUCCAAACUCAUCUAGGUAUAUCCCUUAAUUAGUACAGAAGCUUAAAGGACGGAAAAGUGGGACAUUGGCCAAGAUUUGGGGUGUUUACGGCCUAAGAGGCUUCCUAGGCCGUAAACUACAUGUUUUCCACUAAAUCAUAUGAUUUUUGUGUUCUAAAUGCAAUGGAGUACGUUUAGAACAAGCUAGGGAAGAAACUCUUACGUUUGGAAGCCGGAAUUCACGGUUUUUGGAGUCGGGAUUGAGUCUAGAGAGAGAAAGUAGUGAGAGAGAGUGAGAGGAUGGUAAAAAGUGUUCAAGUGGUGUCCACUUCCUUUAUAUAUGCCUCGGGUAUUGCACCCGGUACACGGCUACCUAAUGCUAAAGUUUAACGGGGUUAAAACUUUUUACAGAAGUGGUUGAAAAGUAAUAUAACUUUAUUUAGUUAAACGGGGUUAACACUUACAAGUUAUAUUUACUUAUUUUAAAAUGAUAACUUCACGAAAUAUAAAUAAAUAGAUAUUUAUUUAUUGACGACUCCAAACAUUAUGGAAAUUGAUACAUAACGAUGAAUUCCGUUAGUGAAAACGGGAUUAUGUAAUGGCAAUAAAUUUGGGUUGUCACAUCAUCCCCCCGUUAGGGGAAUUUCGUCCCAAAAUUUAGAAUUCAUACAGAUAAGUAUUACAAUACUACUAAGACAAGAGAUAGGGAUAUUUGAGUUUCGUUUGAUCUUCGCGCUCCCAAGUAAAUUCCGGUCCCCGCUUAGCGUUCCACCGAACAUUCACGAUUGGGACGCGGCUUUGUUUCGUUCGUUUUACUUCCCGAUCCAUAAUCUCCGCAGGCUCUUCCACAAAGUUGAGGCUCUCAUUGACCUCGAUCUCGUCGAGGGGAAUCACGAGAGUCUCGUUGGACAGGCAUUUCUUCAAGUUUGAGACGUGGAAGGUAGGGUGUAUGUUGCUUAGCUCGUGGGGUAGGUUGAAUUUGUAAGCUACAGGGCCGAUUCUGGCGAGAAUCUCNCUAUGUCCCUGGUUCAGUUUUCCACGCUUUCCAUAGCGUAUCGUGCCCUUCCAGGGCGAGACCUUCAAAAGGACUUAGUCUCCCACCUGGAACUCCAAGGGUUUUCUUCGUUUGUCUGCGUAGCUUUUCUGUCAAUCCCUAGCGGCUUUUAGUCGUUCAUGAAUCUUUACAAUCUUCUCGGUCAUUUCUCAAAUGAUCUCUGGACCAGUGAGAGCGCUGUCAGGAACUCGUCCUUUAGCUAACUGAGUGUCACCCACCUCAGCCCAGCAUAGAGGGGUUCUGCACUUCCGGCCGUAGAGGGCUUCGAAUGGAGCUACCUUGAUGCUCGUAUGAUAACUAUUGUUGUAGGAAAACUCCACAAGAGGUAAGUGUGUAUCCCACAAUUUACCGAAGUCGAUCACACAAGCUUGCAGCAUAUCUUCUAGAGUUUGGAUCGUUCUCUCACUUUGUCCAUCAGUCUGCGGAUGGUAGGCUGUACUCAUGUCCAGCCUCGUCCGAGAUAAUAGAUAUAGGGACGCCAUGCAGCCGCACUAUUUCCUUUAUGUAUGUUCUUGUGUGUUUCUCCAUCUUGUCCGUUUCCUUGAUGGGUAGGAAGUGUGCAGACUUGGUCAAUCUGUCGACGAUGACCCAAAUGGUAUCCAACCCACCCGCUGUCUUGGGUAGCUUGGUUAUAAAGUCCAUUGUAAUCCGCUCCUACUUCCAUUCCGGUAUCUCUGGUUGUUGGAGGAGUCUUGAUGGCUUUUGAUAUUCGACCUUGACCUUCGCGCAAGUAAGGCACUUGCUCACAAAGGUAGCGAUCUCAGCUUUCAUGUUAGGCCACCAGUACAGCUUUCUGAGAUCCAGAUACAUCUUAUCUGAACCUGGGUGGACGGAGUAGCGAGUGUUGUGUGCUUCCCUCAUGACCAAGUCUCUGAAACCUCCAUGGCGCGGAGUCCAGAUUCGGUCCAUGAAGUAGUAGGCUCCGUCAACCUUGACCUCCAAACUUUUAUCCAUUCCGCGCAGGGAUUCUCCGGUCAAAUUCUCAGGCUUUAAGGCUUCCAGCUGAGCCUCCCUGAUCUGCGCGGAUAGAUGCGAACAGAUAGUCAUUGUUAAUGACUUGGUUCUUCGACCAAAAUACUCCUUCCUACUUAGGGCGUCUGCUACCAUGUUGGCUUUCCCCGGGUGGUAUCGGAUUUCGCAAUCGUAAUUGCUGAGUAGUUCGACCCAUCGACGCUGCCUCGUGUUGAGUUCUUUCUGGUUCAGUAUGUGUUGGAGGCUUUUGUGAUCAGUGUACACCACGCUCUUCGUCUCAUACAAGUAGUGUCUCCAGAUUUUUAGUGCGAAGACGACCGCUCCUAACUCGAGGUCGUGAGUAGUGUAGUUCACCUCAUGUGUCUUUAGCUGUCUUGAGGCAUAGGCGAUGACCUUACCUCGUUGCAUCAAGACACAACCGAGCCCCUGAUUUGAUGCAUCGCAGUAUACAACAAAAUCUUCUGUCCCUUCGGGAAGGGAUAAUACCGGUGCGGUGCAUAGGGCUCGCUUCAGGGUCUGGAAUGCCUUCUCCUGUUUCUCUUCCCAGUCGAAUGAUACACCCUUCUGCGUUAACAUGGUGAGAGGCUUCGCAAUCCGAGAGAAGUUUUGGAUGAAUCUGCGGUAGUAGCCAGCGAGGCCUAGAAAUUGACGAAUUUCUGUAGGCGUCUUCGGUGCUGACCAGUUCUCAAUAGCUUUAAUUUUGGAGGGAUCCACGUGGAUUCCGUCUUCACUAACCACGUGUCCUAAGAAUUCAACUCUUCGGAUCCAAAACUCGCACUUAGAGAACUUCGCAUAUAACUUCUCGGAUUGCAGCGUUUCCAGGACUCAUCGUAAAUGAUCCCUGUGUUCUUCCUCGCUCCGAGAGUAGAUGAGUAUAUCAUCAAUAAAGACAAUGACGAACUGAUCUAGAUAUAGACGGCACACCCUAUUUAUCAAGUCCAUGAAUACUGCGGGGGCGUUAGUCAGUCCAAAGGGCAUCACUACGAACUCGAAGUGCCCGUAACGGGUUCAGAAAGCUGUCUUCGGGACAUCAUCCUCAAGUACCCGUAACUGGUGAUACUCGGAUCUAUGAUCAAUCUUGGAGAAGUAACUUGCUCCUUGUAGUUGGUCGAAUAGGUCAUCGAUACGAGGGAGAGGGUAGCGAUUUGAGUUUAUUGAGUUCCUUAUAAUCGAUGCACAUCCGAAACGAUCCAUCCUUCUUCUUCACGAACAAGACCGGAGCUCCCCAAGGUGAGAAGCUCGGUCUUAUAAAACCCUUGUUGAGCAGUUCGUUGAGUUGAACGGAUAGUUCUUGCAUUUCGGCAGGCGCUAGACGAUAGGGCGACUUAGCUACGGGAGUAGCUCCUGGGACUAGGUCGAUUCUGAACUCAAACUGACGUUUGGGAGGUAGACCUGGAAGAUCCUCUGGGAAACCAUUAGGGAAUUCGCGUACAUUGGGAAUGUCCUUUGGAUCUUUCGAGUUCUGGCUAGUGUCGACAAUGUGAGCAAGAAAGGCGCGACAUUCCUUGCGCAAGUAUUUCUGAGCCUGAAGACUGGAGAUGAUACGAAGGCUCGUACCGGGUUUAUCUCCAUAGAUCAGUAGGGUUUCGUGAUUUGGAAGGUUCUGGCGAAUGGCUUUAUCGAAGCAUAGUAUAUCAACGCGAUGGAGACUCAACCAGUCCAUACCAACGAUAACAUCCAAACUAUUGAUUGAGACUGGUAUAAGGUCGAUUGGAAAUGAGUGAUCGUCUAACGUGAGGGUACAACCUAUGUAGAUUUCGUUAGAGCUUUCAGUCUUCCCGUUAGCCAUUUCUACGACGAAUGUUGCUUUUAGUGGUUGAGGAGUUUGUUUGAGUAAGUGUUUAAAGUUUUGAUUUAUGAAGCUUCUUUCUGCACCACUAUCGAAUAAGACACAUGCAUAAGAGUUGUUGAGAAGAAAUGUACCCGUGACCACCGUCGAAUCCGCUACCGAUUCAUUGUGACCGAUAGUGAGUAACCUUCCAGUUCCCCCAGCAUUUGUAGCCUUCGGACAGUUCUUCUUAAAAUGACCAGCUUCACCGCAGCCAUAAUACUUCGGGGUCACUCCCGAACCAGGAACUUGCGAGAUAGGUUUGGGAGGGGCCUUGCAAAAUCGGACAGUAUGGCCUUUCCGGCCGCAGUUGGAGCACUGCAACUCACGGCAGGGGUCGUGGUGGUGGAAAGGACAUUUGGGACAUUUGGGCAGAUUCCCACUAUAAGCUUUUGGCGGGGCAGGUGCGGCUGGAGUGGUGGCAGCAUGGACCGCCACAAUUUGCUGGUCCUUGGAGGAGGUUUGAGUUUUCUUUCCUUUCUUCUUAUCCAUACGCUUCCUCUUUCUGUCAGAUGGAUAUGGUGGUGCAGUGGUAGUGGGGGUUGCUGUUGCUGGAGUGGAAGAGACUUCAUGGUUGAUCAGACUCUGGGCCAAUUCCUUGGCGCUUUCGAAGGUGGUAGGGCGUGAGGCUAGAACAUUUCCUCGAUACGGGGGCAUUAGACCCCAGAUGUAUCGUUCGAUCUUUUNAUCAUGUUGGGGCACAUAGCUACCAGGUCGCAGAACCUGGCAGUAUAAGCUAUUAUGUCGGUCCCCUUCAUCUUGAGGUUCCAAUGUUCCUCUUCAAGUUUCUGAACUUCGCCCCUUGGGCAGUACUCAUUCAUCAAUAGAUCCUUCAGUGUGUCCUAGCCCAUGGUGUUGGCUAUUACCAAGGAGAGUGAUUUGACAUUACCAUUCCACCAUGUCAAGGCCCUCUUAGUAAAAGUGGCAACAGCGAACUUUAUUUUGCUCUCUUCGGGACAAGAGCACAUUUCAAAGAUAGCUUCGGUUCUUUCGAACCAUUGAGACAAUGCCAUAAUUCCUCCAGUACCAUCGAAGAAGGUAGGUUUACAGUUCAUGAAGUCCUUAUAAGUGCAUCCCUGCACUCUUUGGUGGACUUCACCAAACCUAGAGUUACCACCGCUUGCGUCCCCGGAGUUCAUUUGGGCCAUGGCUGCUGUCACAGCUGCGGUCACAGCUGUUUGGAACAACACUGGAUCGAACUGCGAAGGAGGAGGUGGUGGAGGAGGGGUUUGAGUUGUUGGUCUUCCUCUUCUUGGACGCUUUCGUGGAGGCAUCUUUCACUGGAAGAUCAUAGAAAUGAUAGCAAUAGUAAGAGUCUAGUGCAAAUGUGAAUAGAGUGUUUCAUGGAUUAAAUCAACAUAACCCAAGAUCAGAAUGAGAGUCAUAACAAUAGAGUAAUCAACUGCCAAUAUACUGGUAUUAAUGAUGUAACACAAGUUCAUGAAAAUUGACCUAACAGUAGGUCUUACAUCAAAGCAUAAAGGAAAUGUUGGUAGUUUAGAGGUCUAGUUAGAGUAUUUUUAAGCUAGGAAUGUUUACAGACAAGAGAUCUACGGAACAUAGACAGGAAAGGCUAGUCCUUUAAACAAAAGAGUGGGGUACUAGAGGUCUUCUAAUAGCGACGGUUACUUGUUGGGCGAAUCCUCAGAUCCGCUAGCUGACGCAUAACUUCUUGAAGGUGUCGAUCAUGAGUCCUUUGGCGUGCUCGGAGUUCCCUAACUUCGGCUCGGGAUGCAGCCAGCUGAUGCUGCAGAGCCUCGUUGGUCCUCCUUGUCCUGUCCAUGGCUUCCUCAAGUUGGCGAAUGCGAACAAUGUUGAGAUUCGAGUUGGCAUUCACUUCUACAACUCGACCUAUGGCUGCUUGACCCUGCUCGACAUUCCUGGCUAUCCUUCGGAUCAUGAUGGGCAGAACCCGAUCCGCUGAUCCUCCUUCGCUUAUGUUGUAGAAGCUUCGGUCUCCAUUGUAAGGUAAAGGCUGACCCUGCUCCUCAAUCCAUCGGUGCAAGGAUAUGGCCCACAUAGGAGUGGGACCCUGAAAUGUCGGAUGAGGGUUGGGAUUCGGAGCUUCAGGAGGUUGGUUGUUAACUUCUGGUUCGGAGCUCGAGCUAUCCGAGAAGCCUUCAGCAUGAUGAUCAUCCAAAAGGAUCGGGUGAUCAUCGACUGACUCCUCAUCGAGCCAUCCUCCAUUUCCCUGGUUUGGAUAGUACGGAUCACCGGGAUGGUGGAAGCCGGCCAUGCUAUCUACGCGAAAUGGGGAAAGGAAAGGUUAAUAGAUGUACUACUCUAAGAUACUUAUAAGAGGAAUCGUUAUUAGUUGACCCAAUACUUGCGUAGUGCAUACCAAUUACAUGCAACCGAAGCAAGAUAGUCCUUCGAAUAAGCAACCCUAACUUCAGACCCCCAAUCAAACAAGAACAGGGAAUGAAGCAAAGGCUACAGAUUCUGAGUCUAUAGCGCCCUAAUCACAUGUAACCGUGGUGUAUCCACUUAGCAACUAUUGUCCUACCAGUAACGACCCUUUUAGUUAUCACAUACGUAUGUUUUAGAGAUACAUAAUACUCCUAUAGUAUUCUUAUGGUAACGUUAUUGUGGUAGUGUUGGUAAGUUUUAGACUUGUUGCAACGCCACAACCAAGCUUAGGCACAUGCUAGUCACUCCCAGGAAAACGUAGUUGAUCAGGCUACAUCACCCCGAAUGUGACUAUAUGUCUCUAAGCCCAAUUGUGCUGUCCAACAAUCUUAAUACUUUUGUUCUGUUCUAGUGUGAUACUGACUUCUGUGUUUCAUAGAGACGUGUGUAUAUAUAUACUUAGUUAAACCUUUUAAAUACUUAACAGUAUAUAUUCUUGGUCAGAGUGUUUUAGUCCCGAAGUGUUUAUAGUUCGUAUAUCUUUUAUAGGUUGAUAUACUUGAUUCACUAUAAACAAUGCUCUGAUACCAAUCUGUCACACCCCAAAACCGAUAACGGCGGAAUACGUUUCGGGGUGGAGGACGUCAUGUACAGUAUCAUCACAAUUGCAUAAUAGUAAAAACAAGAAACAUACAACCAUUGNGUUGAUAUACUUGAUUCACUAUAAACAAUGCUCGGAUACCAAUCUGUCACACCCCAAAACCGAUAACGGUGGAAUACGUUUCGGGGUGGAGGACGUCAUGUACAGUAUCAUCACAAUUGCAUAAUAGUAAAAACAGGAAAAAUACAACCAUUGCAUUUCAUAGUGAGUUUAAUUACAAGUGUGUUUUGUAAUGUUCAACAAACACCAAAAGUAAUACAAAAAUAAGAGAUGGAUCUUGUAUGCUCUACCUUCUCCAAAAUGCUGCACCUGUACCUGUCUAUCUUUGACCUGAGGAUACAAGUUAUUUUGAAAACGAAUAUCAGCAUAAAGUUGGUGAGUUCAUAAGAGUUUAGUGUGAGUUUUUG